CAGCCGUCUCGGCUUCCCCGACUGACUCCGGCGCAGCUUCUGCAGGGGCCUGGUGUGUUGGCUGCUCCUCCUGGCCCCUGACAUGUUCCAGGCUUUCUGGCUCAGUCUCCUUGGCCUCUGCCCUCCGGCCCCCGGUCACCAUGAGACCCUCUGCAUCAAGGAGCCUUGGUGCCUCUCCCUCAGGGUGGUAGUCCCCACACCGCCCCUCACUGUCUUCCC
rnacentral:lncRNA from 1 species